AUGGCCGGCGACGAGCCCCCAACGACGGAGGCGUGCCAGGACCUGGUCGAGAUCCUGGACGAGGGAUCGGGCCGGCUGGACAUGGGCCGGUACGUGGACCACGUCCGCGACCUCUCGGCGGGCGCCAUCGCCACCUUCGAGGGCACCACGCGGGACCACUUCGACGGGAGGCGCGUGGUGGAGCUCCGCUACGAGGCGUACGGGGCCAUGGCGCGGCGCCGGCUGGAGGCCAUCCUCCGCGAGGCCCGCGCCGCGCACGCGCUGUGCCGGCUGGCCGUGGCGCACCGCCUCGGGACGGUCCCCGCCGGCGAGGCCAGCGUGUUCGUGGCGACCUCGGCCGUGCACCGCGCCGACGCCAUGGAGGCGUGCCGCUACGUGAUCGACGAGAUCAAGGCCUCCGUGCCCAUCUGGAAGAAGGAGGUGUACGACGACGGCGAGGUGUGGAAGGAGAACCGCGAGUUCCUCGACCGCACCGACGCCGAGAAGAAGGGCAAGCCGGCCGGCGGCGGCGGAUGCUGCGGCAGCAAGGUGAGGGUGAGCUGA
rnacentral:rRNA from 1 species